AUUGAACGCUGGCGGCGGGCCUAACACAUGCAAGUCGAGCGAGCGGCGGACGGGUGAGUAAUGUCUGGGAACCUGCCUGCUGGAGGGGGAUAACUGCUGGAAACGGUCGCUAAUACCGCAUACAAUCAGAUGUGCCCAGAUGGGAGUAGCUAGUGGGUGGGGUAACGGUUCACCUCGGCGACGAUCCAUAGCUGGUCUGAGAGGAUGACCAGGCACACGGGAACUGAGACACGGUCCAGACUCCGACGGGAGGCAGCAGUGGGGAAUAUGGGACAAGGGGCGCAAGCCUGAUGCAGCCAUGCAGCGUGGAUGAAGCAGGCCUUCGGGUUGUAAAGUACUUUCAGCGGGGAGGCGUUACCCGCAGAAGAAGCACCGGCUAACUCCGUGCCAGCAGCCGCGGUAAUAC
rnacentral:rRNA from 1 species